AUACGGAGGGUGCAAGCGUUACUCGGAAUCACUGGGCGUAAAGCGCGCGCAGGCGGGCUGAUAAGUUGGAUGUGAAAGCCUACGGCUCAACCGUAGAACUGCAUCCAAAACUGUCAGUCUAGAGUCUGGGAGGGGAAGAUGGAAUUAGUUGUGUAGGGGUAAAAUCCGUAGAGAUAACUAGGAAUACCAAAAGCGAAGGCGAUCUUCUGGAACAGUACUGACGCUGAGGCGCGAAAGCGUGGGGAGCAAACAGGAGUAGAAACCCUAGUAGUCC
rnacentral:rRNA from 1 species